AGAUUGAGCGCUGGCGGCAGGCCUAACACAUGCAAGUCGAGCGGCAGCACAGUCGUAGCAAUACGAUGGGUGGCGAGCGGCGGACGGGUGAGGAAUGCAUCGGAAUCUACCUUGUUGUGGGGAUAACGUAGGGAAACUUACGCUAAUACCGCAUGAGACCGUAAGGUGAAAGCGGGGACCUGUGAGGGCCUCGCGCGACAAGAUGAGCCGAUGCCGGAUUAGCUAGUUGGUAGGGUAAACGGCCCACCAAGGCGACGAUCCGUAGCUGGUCUGAGAGGAUGAUCAGCCACACUAGGAACUGAGACACGGUCUAGACUCCGUACGGGAGCAGCGAAGGUGGGGAAUAGUUGGACUAAGUGGGCGCAAGCCUGAUCCGAGCCAGUCG
rnacentral:rRNA from 1 species